GGAAGGGCGAGUGCGGCGCCGCCACCGCCGGCAACUUUGUGAGCGAGUUCAGUGCGUGCGUGAGCGAGUGAGCGAAAAAGUCAGUGCGGCGCCGAGUCCGGGAGGAGGGUCCCCGGGGAGGGCCAGGUCUGGGCUUCAGAGGCCGCCCCCGAGCCACUUCAUCCUCUCCCGCCUCCCUGGCUCCCUCCCCAUUUCCUCCCCCCACGGGUCCUCCCGGGCCUUCCGCCCCCUUCUGCAGUUACCUGUCCCCUCCCCCACUCGGCACGCACCUCCCCUUUCCCCCGCGCCCACCUCCGACCUCCGGACCCUGGACUCGCAGCCGCGUCGCGCUCGCUCCCCGCGCCGGCCGCCCCCUCCGCUCUUUCUCCUGGGGGCAGGCGGGCGGAAUGGGGGGCGCUGAGCCUCGGAGGCGGCGCGAGCGGAGACCCGGGCGCCCAGACAAUAGUUGAUGCCGGGGGGACGGGGGCACCUCCGCCCCCCCACUUUGCCAGGAUCGCGGCCCCCGCCGGCAGCUCUCCAGCCUGCAUUCCGGGUCCCCCUCGGAGCCAGGCUCCGGAGUUGGGCACAUUCCGCCCCCGCCUCCCCGGACCCCCCUGCGUUCGGCGCCCGCCCCGGCCCGGCCUCGCUGCCUGCCGUUCUCCGCAGAGGAGGCGGCGAGGAGCGCGCGCCGACCGUCUACACGGUUUCUCUUUCUCCCCAGGGAGAGCGCGCGGCGGACGCGCCCCGGACGCGCGGCGGCACCCGGAGGCCGGGCCCAGCGGUUUUGAGAGGAUUCCUCAAGUUUGACCUCAAGCAAGAUUCACUACUAACUUUGAAGUAGAAUAAGGGACAUUGUUCUCGUUGUGGAAGGUAAGUGUUGUUCCUUAAGCCCUGUUCUUUCAGAGCUUUCGUGAGCUUGUUUGUAUUGCUAUGUAGGAGAUACCACACUGCUGGUAGCAAAAAUGAGGCAAGAACAGCAUCAGAGGUGAUAGAUAUCCUCUGCAGUGCCAGUAUCUUUGACCACUACUUCCCUGGACGUGGCAACACUAAAGAAAAACUGCUGAGACCUUCUCUUUGAGUUCUUGGCAUUCAUCCUUAAGGUGAUUGCAUGGUAUAAGAUGGCUACUAGAAGCAUCACAUUUAUAUUCUAAAAGGUGGAAGGAGGGAGGGGAAAAGGUUGAAAUUCUGAACACAGCCAGCUUCUUUUAAGCAACCUUUCUUUGCUUAAUUUUCUCAAAACACAUAUGCUUGUUUCUCAUUGGCCAGCACUUAGUCAUGUGGACUCACCCAGC
rnacentral:lncRNA from 1 species